rnacentral:rRNA from 1 species
UCUGGUAGUUAGGGCGAGAAGGUCACACCCGUUCCCAUCCCGAACACGGUAGUUAAGCUUCUCUGCGCCAAUGGUAGUUGGGGGCUUCCCCCUGCGAGAGUAGGUCGCUGCCGGGC